UUUUUUUUUUUAACAUUCUGCAAUCAGCCAGAAGAAGGCAGCAUCAGGAAUCUUUCUGAUUUGAAGCCAAAGGCAAGAAAAAAGGCUUUGACCUUCCUGGAUUCUGAAGUCUCGUCAGUGCUUAGCGUCCUGGUUGCUUCAAUUCAACCUUUCUUCARUUUUAAAAUGAACUCUCUGAAAUUAAAACAGCUACAGGGAUGGGGUUCAGGAGUUUUCAUAAAAGCUGGCACUUCAAAACCCCUGCCCACAAAAGAGCACUUUUCUUCUAACUUAUUUUGAAGACUCAGUAUCAAAUACUAUCACAUUUGUAAAUCUGACUUAACUUGGUGGAAUUAUUCCAGCUUUCUACUAGGAUCAUAGAAAGAAAAAUAUCAUCUCUCUGCCUUAUUCAUCCACUGAUAAUCAAUUAUCUUCUAUUCUUAACAAAAUAAACAUAUUAAAAGCUA